UUUAGGGUUGCUCUGCACUGGUUUCUUCUUCUAGGAGUGACUCAGGUUCGUACAUUGAGGGCACACCUGUCUCUCAAAUUCACUCACUUGUGUGGAUCUAACCAGAACUCUGCAGCUGGAAUUUUAGGAUGGAUAUUGAGAUGGAUUUUGGGAUUGCCGUGUACUUCGUUUAACGCUGAAUCUGCCGCACAAGACAAGGUGAAAAAGGGCAAUUUCCUUCCAUCGCAGCUGCAAAUAGCAGGGGCUAAUUCAGAGAAACGUGAGGGGUGUUCAAGCCAUGAUAUGUUGUAAUUACCCCACAUUCAUUAUUACACAUUUAUAUUCUGAAUAUUACAGUUGUGUCAUAAAAAAUCCUUGCUGUCCAUUUAGAGUAAUGUAGGCAACUGCCUUUUGAGGGUCUGUUUAAACAGGAUGUGUUCUUAAAACAGCUAGACAGAGCACAGUGGUAGGCGUUGGGUGGCGCAUUAACCCUUUUGAAAAAGAAUUGUUCUUAACUGUAUUGAAUGUGCUCUUGUAGUGUAUG
rnacentral:lncRNA from 1 species